rnacentral:tRNA from 1 species
AGGGAUUUAGCUCAGUGGCAUGAGUGCCUGCCUGGCAAGCACAAGGUUGUGAGUUCAAUCCCUG